rnacentral:sRNA from 1 species
GCCAGGCAUAGUGGCCCACACCUGUAAUCCCAGUGGCUUGGGAGGCUGAGGCAGGAGGAUUAUGAGUUCAAAGACACACUCAGCAAAAGCAAGGCACUCAGUGACAUCCUGUCUCUC